rnacentral:rRNA from 1 species
UAAUACGGAGGGGGCGAGCGUUAUUCGGAAUUAUUGGGCGUAAAGGGCGCGUAGGCGGCUUGACAAGUCAAAGGUGAAAUCCCUCGGCUCAACUGAGGAACUGCCUUUGAAACUGUCUGGCUUGAGGCCGGGAGGGGGUAGCGGAAUUCCCAGUGUAGCGGUGAAAUGCGUAGAUAUUGGGAGGAACACCAGUGGCGAAGGCGGCUACCUGGACCGGUUCUGACGCUGAUGCGCGAAAGCGUGGGUAGCAAACAGGAUUAGAUACCCUGGUAGUCCACGCCCUAAACGAUGGGCACUAGGUGUGGGCGGUAUUAAUCCCGCCUGUGCCGUAGCUAACGCAUUAAGUGCCCCGCCUGGGGAGUACGGUCGCAAGGCUG